rnacentral:tRNA from 1 species
CAUUAAGAAGCUAAACUAGCAUUAACCUUUUAAGUUAAAGACUGGAAGCUCAGACCUUCCCUUAAUGA